rnacentral:lncRNA from 1 species
AAGAAUUUGUGGCUAUAUCAUUACUCUUUAAAUAUUGGACACUAUCUCUUAUUGUGUUUUUACAAAUAUAAGUUAAAAGUCAAACUAUAAAAUUUUGUGUAUGUAUUAUUUAUUCAUGCUCGUUUGAUGUAUUUUAAAAUUAAGACUGAGCAUUUUCUUCUUGUAUUUGCAAUUGACCAUUUUCUUCUUGUAAGAAGUAGGGGGUGGGCAUUAACCAAUUCAGGUUGUUUUGCCCCAGAACCAAAUCCAACCCUAGUGAUAAGUCUAUUUUUCUUUAACUUUUUCAAUUUCAUGGGUGUACUUUGAGUAAUAAUUUUGCAUUAGAAUCAUUUUGAGCAUAUGAAUAUAUGAUUCUGAAGCAUUCAUGACAGAGUAUUUGAAAAUCUUACAAAGUUAAAACUCUAAAGGAAUUAAAACUACUAGAUAGAGUUGUACUGGGAGAAUGGUUUAUUAUGGCUGUAUUGUAUAUGUUCUUUGUGCAAAGUUAUGUUAUUUAUAUGUAGGGCUAGAUACUUCACAUGGUAAGAAAGUUCUCACGGCAAGAAUCACUAUUUAAUUAUACAAUGAUUUCAUGAGAUUAUUCUUCCCAUAUCCAUAAUCUUGUUAGAUCUCUUUCCUGUACAGAUUCUUACUUUGUAUCCAAGAUUAUUGCUUGAUAGCUUUUACACGAUUAUGGGCAUCUGAUUUGGACUCUUUUCUAAGUCCUUUUACUUAACACGAAAUAGAUCGUCCCACUCAAAAUUAUGUCACAAAAUAGCUACUGGCCAAGCUAUUUUUCCAACAAUUUGUGCGAUAACAAAUUCUUGAUUCUAAUAUUUUUCUUCAUUAUUCAACCCACCUUAUCCAACCCCCAAGAUGACAAAUACAAAUUCGAUCAACUCUCUUCUAAGUUUCAUCACUUAGUGGUGCAAGGAAUUUGAUUUCUAAACCUCUACUUCAACUAUAUUAAAAAUUAAAACAAUAUUUUUAUUUUUGUGUAUUGUAGAUAUGAGUGUAUUUUACAUGUAACAUAUGAGUGUUAUUUUACAUGAAUGUAAGACUUGUCACAUGUAACAUAUAAAGGACAUGCCGCGACACAUACAAAACAUGCCAUUUAGAAGAAAUAACGAUAACCUCUUGUAAUGAUCAUGUUUUACAUACUAGAUAUUAACUCUUAUCUUGCUUCUAUAAAUAUAUGUCAAAAGGUGGAACCACAUAAAAUUUGUAUAAUGUAUUAUUUAUAAUUUCAUGCUCAUUUUGAUAUAUUUUUAUUGACCAUUUUCUUCUCGUAAGAAGCACUGUACUAAGCAGGCCUCACUCUACAAAUUCUCUAGAUCAUCCCUUCUAUCUUAUUGAGACCUCAACUUGGUCUUCGCAAUCUCCAGAUGAUGUUAGUUUACCGACAUUGAUACGAAAAAUUUAUUUUAUUUCUUGGACGUUCAUAAUUAAUCUUUUACUUUGACUAGAUUACUUGUGCCCUUUACUUUAGUUGGGGGGCCGUCAAAUUGCCGGUUGUCUUGUUAGUUGAAUAUAGAGAAAUAUCAACGGCAUUAAUCUAAUUUAGCCUUCCAAUUUAAUAAAGAAACUAGCUCGGCGCCGUUAGUUAUAUAUGUUGCCGACCUCAUUGACAAUGUUAAUCAAAAUUUAACAUAUUUUCCAUGCAUAAAAAAAGUAGUUUCAUUUAGUAUUGAAAUUGGGUAAUUGUAGUUAAAAAAGUAUUUGGUAAACACUUAUGUUGAAGUUUAGAAAUUAAGAUGAUUUAAACCUACACUUGUAUGAUGAAAAACCUACAAUAUUUUUACUAAUUAU